rnacentral:lncRNA from 1 species
CUCAUUUCAUUUUUCUUAUUAAUAUUCUUUAUAUUUUUCUUCUUUCUCUAGUUAAUUAUGUGUUAACUUACUUUACUUUUCUUCCCUUCUUUCUUUUGUUGAUCAUGUAUUAAUGAUCUUUACUUUUUUUACUUUGUAUGAAAUUUCAUGAUGGACCAAUAAGGCCCAUCUAUUUGUGUCAACCCCUUCAAUUUUUUCAAGUCAAAUUCAUUUUUGGAGAAAGAAGUUGUCGUCAAUGGAAAAAAAUGGGGUCAAAACCCAGUGAUGAAGUUGCAAAGAUUUGGAGACUUGAAAAGUCUCAAUUCUUUUGUUAUUAUUGUAUUUUUAUUUAUUUAUUUGCUUAUUCAUUCAUUUUGGGGCCUCGAAUCCAAAUUUGUAAAUUAAUAUAGGUGAAGCAAAUUUUUGGGCCUUCAAGGUCCAAAAACUAGUUUAGGACAGGUGAAGAUGGGCCAAAAGCUCAAAGUGAGUAGUUUAGGAUAGGUGCAAGUUGGCUAUAAGCCCAAAUUAGUUUAGGACAGGUUUUCAUGGGUUUGGGCCUAAAGGUCUAGCUCUUGUAAUUUUUCCCUUUCCCUUUUCUAUGUUUAUUUACUAUUUGUUUCUUCAAACCUAGAUAAAUUUCCUACUAAGUCGUCAAAUUAAUUUUACACAUGCUUUUUUCCUUUAUUAAUCACUUUAUUUCCAAAAAUCAACUUCUUUUUUUCAAAGUUAGUCAAAGGUGGUUAUCAAAUAGUAUGAACAAUCGCAAGUUAGCGAAUGCUUUAGGUUCCUUAAAAAACUUCCUAAAAUGUUAAUAAGAACCUCUUACCUGGGAUUUCUUGAAAAGUCUAGGUCUUUUCUGUUUUAAGACUUAGAAUUUUCUUUAAAAAGUUUUUUAAUUUCUUUUCAAAUAAAUUAAGUGGCAACACUGUAAUUUCUUAUUUCAAAUUUUCUUUAAGUUUUGAAAUGGUUUAAUAGUCAAAAACGGAUAAAAUAGAAAUGGUGACUUUGUUGAAGAGUUUAACUAGGUUCUGAUCAAAUAUUUGAAUUAGUUUCUUUGACUAACUUUUGUAGUGUUUAAACUGUUUGUGUACGUAUGUGUUUUAACUUUGAAAAAUUGAACUGUUGCAUUUCAUAGCAUGUUUCCCAUUUGAAAUAUAAAUUGUUUGGGGUUUUAUGGAUGUCCUAGCCCCUAUUCUUUAAUUCUAAAUCAACUAUUGGAAAUACGACGGUUUAUUGGCACGUUAGGCAUCCGAUGGCUGUUCAUAUUUCCAAACCCAAGUUGUCCGCUUGGGAACCUGGUCCAAACCUACUCUAGACACCUAGGAUAGAGCAAACCAAAAUCCUAUUUUUAGCCAUAAGCCUAUGUGACUCAAUACACAAGGUGAUAUUGGGCCCAUUAGAAAAUUUGCCCUGCGUCUAUUAUCUAUGAGCCAAUUACAGAUGAAUCAUAUUUAUGUGUUGAAGAAAUGUAUGUUAUUUUAAUCCAAUCCAUUAUCCUUUGAGGUAUAGAAAGACUUAUUUUUCUUGCUUUUGUGUAGCAAUGGUUCAACCGUACCCUUGUAAAAGCUUCAAGAUGGUUACCAGAACUGAUAACUUCCUGAAAGCAUGGUGAAUCCAUAUAAAUGCGAAAGAUAAAGAAAUUUUUAGUACGCAUAUCAGGAAUUUACCUUUGCUUAUUGAGAUGGACCCUUGGCCUGAAAUGAUCCAUCUAAUAACUAAAUUUUGGGAUGAUGACAACACAAUGUUCCACUUUGGGGAAGUUGAAUUUACUCCCACUAUUGAAGAAGUAAUGUCUUGUUUUGAGAGCAUUGAUAUGUGCAAAAAAAAAAAGAUUGCACCCGACAAUAACAUUCUAGUCCCCAUCGUAUGAAACUGUCAAAAGAUCAAGGAUUCCUUUUCAAUCAAUAAUAAUACCUGGUUAGGGGAAUGUGACAGGGAAAACAUACCUUUUCAUGAGUUGUAUCAAUGAUUUGGAAGGUAUAACAUUUUUGAGUAAUUCAGACAUAAAUUUUAAUCGGAGUCAAAAUGGAAAAAGAAAAGAGCAUUUGCUUUUGCGUUGGGCUUACUUGGAACUACGGUGUUACCACAAGGAAAAAAUGGCACCACUAAUCUAAGAGUUAUUAUGGUGACACACCCUCUUCUAUGGAAUGGAUUAUGGUACCACUAAGGUAUUCCACACCUUAGCCCUCGUGAUGAAAUAUAUCGGGCUUUGAGAAGAUGUUAAUAUAGGCACCAUUUCUUUCAACGAUGUAACCUUAUCUUACAAUGGUGGAUGAUGAAGCAUUUGUUAAAAGAUCCUAGAGUGGAGCAGUGAGACCCCAAAACAAGGAUAGAUUAUCUAUCAUCACAUGGCAUUUUAUUGUCUCUACAAAGGUUUAAGAAGAGAGAAACUUUAGAAUUUUCGCUCAAAAUUUUUGGGGAGUUAAGAGAUGACAACGUCUAGUGGUCUGUUAAAUAACUUCAUCCAAGGACGUACAUUACUCGAGGGGACAAAUGGCCUUUUUAGUACUUCUAGGUCUCAGGGGAACCCAUCCUUAUAUCCCGAUAGAGUCCUUAGGCAAUUUGAAAUCAAGCAAGAAACACUGUAAAUGACACCUAUGGUUAGAUUCGUCACUGAGUAUGAAGAAGGUAAAUCUUCACUCAAAAGUACAUAGUAGAUGGGUAGAGUAAAAAAAUACAAAGAAAGUCUCUUUUAUAUCGAGUAAGUGAUUGAAGAAGAAUCUUGUAGGAGCAUUGAUCCUGGGUCCAAAUGUGCCCACACAAAUUAUUAAUAUAGAAUCAAAAUAUCAGAUUCGACUCUACAGGCUUUAGGACGAAUUCCAAAAAAGUGAGAUUGCACACCAGAAGAUGAAUAUGGAGGAUGCCUCAACCAUACACUAAUUGAGAGAAGAUUUAAAGCGAGUUAGGCAAAAGGUUGAUAACGCUAGGUAGUGUUUGAUUGAUUUGGAUGAUUGUAUGGUUUUUUAGAUUGAUAGUGUAGGGAAGAUGACUAAAGAAAGUAAAGUGCAGUUAUGUGGGAGUUACCUAAUCAUCAACAGAUAUCACAUAUAGAAAGAGGUGGAUAAAUCUAAGAGGGAAAGUGCCAAUAAAGAAACAUCUAGGAGCUAGUUUUACUAUCCCCUGAGCAGGACCUUGUUCUUUCUUUCAUGUUAUUUUCUCAUUCCCUAAAUAUUGUAUCCCUUUUAUGCCACUUUUGUAACCAUUUGUGUCCUUUUCAUAUAUCUAUGGAGAUUUGGGGGGGAUAAUGGAUUAUUUUUAAAAGGCAUAUAUUUUCUUCAAAAAUCAUUAGGACAACCCUUAGCUCAAAAGGGUCGCCCCAAGUAGGAUAUGGCUUAUUAUAAUGUUGUUGUAUGAUAUAACUAAAACUUGGCUUUCCUCAACUCCAAAAGAAAGAACCUAUCUAGAAAGGUGGUAGCAAACUCCUCCUGUUUUAUAGCCCUGCAUCUGCGACCCUAUUUUUCUUCCACUACUUAAACCAUAUAUGAGCUACAUCCUGCAACUGAUAUAAAACCAACUCAACACUCUCACUAGAGGUUACCCUCAUAAUAUAUGUUACCUUCUGCACCAUGUCAAGGAAUUCCUGUGAGUCCUCUUCAGACUUAGACCCUAUAAAUGAUGGAGGAUUCAUUCGAUUGAAGUCCUGAAUUCUAUAUGCAAUAGUAUUGGCCACUGGGUUGGCCUGAACAACAACUGGGCGUUCAUUUUUGAGAGGCAUGUACUAUAAAUAGAAGGGAAAAUUGGAUUAGAUAGAGAGUUUAACUUGAGCUUAUGCUCAUUUGCAUGACAUGAAUACUAAAAGAAGGGAAACUUUUCCUAAAAAUGCCUUAUAGCCUCUUUUCCAUAAGUGUGGCGUCCUACACACCCAUGCACAAGGCUCUAUUUGAAGUGACUUUCAGACUCCCUAGAAUCUUUAGAAACUUAGGCUCUGAUACGAAGUUUGUAAUGCCCCGAGUCUAUACCCUAGACGUCACACAGUGCUUACAAUCUUGAAGGACCACAACCUAACCCAUGACUGGUACCUCUGUGAGAACUAAUUUAUGAUAUUGAAAUCGGAAGAUGACUAACGAGAGUAAAGUGCAGUUAUGUGGGAGUUACCUAAUCAUCAACAGAUAUCACAUAUAGAAAGAGGUGGAUAAAUCUAAGAGGGAAAGUGCCAAUAAAGAAACAUCUAGGAGCUAGUUUUACUAUCCCCUGAGCAGGACCUUGUUCUUUCUUUCAUGUUAUUUUCUCAUUCCCUAAAUAUUGUAUCCCUUUUAUGCCACUUUUGUAACCAUUUGUGUCCUUUUCAUAUAUCUAUGGAGAUUUGGGGGGGAUAAUGGAUUAUUUUUAAAAGGCAUAUAUUUUCUUCAAAAAUCAUUAGGACAACCCUUAGCUCAAAAGGGUCGCCCCAAGUAGGAUAUGGCUUAUUAUAAUGUUGUUGUAUGAUAUAACUAAAACUUGGCUUUCCUCAACUCCAAAAGAAAGAACCUAUCUAGAAAGGUGGUAGCAAACUCCUCCUGUUUUAUAGCCCUGCAUCUGCGACCCUAUUUUUCUUCCACUACUUAAACCAUAUAUGAGCUACAUCCUGCAACUGAUAUAAAACCAACUCAACACUCUCACUAGAGGUUACCCUCAUAAUAUAUGUUACCUUCUGCACCAUGUCAAGGAAUUCCUGUGAGUCCUCUUCAGACUUAGACCCUAUAAAUGAUGGAGGAUUCAUUCGAUUGAAGUCCUGAAUUCUAUAUGCAAUAGUAUUGGCCACUGGGUUGGCCUGAACAACAACUGGGCGUUCAUUUUUGAGAGGCAUGUACUAUAAAUAGAAGGGAAAAUUGGAUUAGAUAGAGAGUUUAACUUGAGCUUAUGCUCAUUUGCAUGACAUGAAUACUAAAAGAAGGGAAACUUUUCCUAAAAAUGCCUUAUAGCCUCUUUUCCAUAAGUGUGGCGUCCUACACACCCAUGCACAAGGCUCUAUUUGAAGUGACUUUCAGACUCCCUAGAAUCUUUAGAAACUUAGGCUCUGAUACGAAGUUUGUAAUGCCCCGAGUCUAUACCCUAGACGUCACACAGUGCUUACAAUCUUGAAGGACCACAACCUAACCCAUGACUGGUACCUCUGUGAGAACUAAUUUAUGAUAUUGAAAUCAUAAGCGAAAGUAAAAACUAAAAUGCCAUAAGGUUCUCAAAAUACUGAAAUUAUAAGUGAACGUACUGAUAAUAGCAUCUAAAAAACUGAAAAUUGACAAUGCUAUUCUGAAAGCCUCUAACUGUCUGAAUAUGGAGUUGAUGGGAUAAAUCCCCAACUAACUCCGACUACUGAACUAACUGAAAUACUGAAAUGCUAAAAUAAAAUGUUAUACUCGCAGGAUGAGGACUCACUACUAUAACAGCUACUGAUAGCCUAAGCUGCUAAGUAUAGUCAGGAACCUGAGCAUCCAAACCUAUGAUAUGAGACAUCAUAGCACAAAGAAAGAGUAUGCAUCAGUAUGUGGGAUGUACUAGUAUGCUAUGUGAGGAAGGCUGAUAUACAUGGGUUCAUAUGCAUGAGAUGAUAACUGAUUGAAUAAACAUCAUGGAAUAACUGAAUAAGAGUACAUGCAAAAACUGUAUCUACUGAUCGUGUUGAAUAUGCAAUACUGUGCAUAUAACCACUGCCUGAAUUAGACUGAUACUGAAGUACUGAGUUUUGGUAAUGAAUACUAAUAACUAAGGUUUAUAUUGAUACUGAAGUACUGAAUUUUGAUGGCUAAGUAACUAUUAACUAAUAGCCAUGGUUCUGUAGAACUAUGUGAGUUCUUUACUGAAUUCUGAGACUGAAUACUGAUUUUUGAGUAUUAAAUACGGAAACUAUAACUGUGGGAGUGCUCAUCUAACCAACAUACCCCAAUUAUAAACUGAGUUGGGGUCCAACCUGUAACCCCAGUUGAAAGGGUGUUAGCAGCUUUCCAAGGGAUACUAACAAUAUUGUGUCAACCCUAAUCUGGCAGAAAGACUCAUGAAAUUUAUAUAUGAUUGUGUCAACCCUAUUCUGGCAGAAUGGAGACUUACCUUACGCUGGCUAUGUAGUUCUGUAACACAGGUAAUACUACUAAGGGUCAAACCCUCUGCUGGAAGGAAUGCCCGCAUCCCCGGAUUUACUCGGUGUUGAAUCCUACUCCCAACUAAAUAGACAUUGAACUGGUCACAAGACUGCACUAGGCUUGACUGAACUAAUACUGAUCAUGUUGACUGACUAAACUGGAUUGAGUUCUGUAAAUGAUUGAGUACUACCGCUCAUGACAUUAAUGAGAUUAUUUUGUAGCUACUGUAAUUCUAGGUAAACAGUUAGAUUGUUGGAUAUUGAAUACCCCUAGGACUCGAUAACAUCAAUAGUAAAACAUGGAAAAAUCUUGAAGGCAUUACAUUAGUUACUUGUCCACCAUGCAUUCAUUUAGAUAUUUUGUCAAACACUUGAGAGGCAUGAACUUGCACAUGAAUGGGACCACAUAAUAACAUGUCAUGAAUUCACUACUCAAUUUACAUAGGCAUUCUAUCAAACACUUAGGGAGCAUAAUUAAUACACAUGGAAUUCAUCAAGAUAUAAACAUCAUGGCUACAACACUCAACUUGCAAUUCAAGGGUUUAACAUGAGUGUCACAUAAUUUGGACUACUUGCAAAUUAAGUCACUUGAAACUUGUAACGAGUAUUCGUUUGAAAACCACACAUCAAUACAUACAUGAACACAAUCCAAUUCAAACAUGUAAAUCUUGAAAUUAAUAAAUUUGUAGUUUAAAAAGAGGUUCAUGGACUACAAGGGUGGAAGGAUACCCAAGGAUGAACACCUAACAUACCUUGAUUAUUAAUUUCAUGAAAAUUAUGAUGUGUUCUUGAGACUUGAUUCUUGAUCUUGAUGAACCUAGGGCUUGUUCUUGAGAGGGUUUUGAGAAUAAUGAGUGUAUUUAGCCCUUUAGGAUAUUAAAUCUCGUAUUUUCGCUGAAUUGGGUGAGGGUAAAAGGACCCAAAAUGCCCUUGGAAACUCAAAAUUCAACGCACAAAAAUUGCCCAACGAUGCGAUUGAAGAUGCGCCACAUUAAUAAGAUCAAUGCGAUUAUCGAUUCUUCGCAUUGAUGGGUACAAUGUGGUAGCCAAUGCGAUGCGUUAAUAUCGAGUUGCCUUGCUAUUUUUCCCAUCCAAACAUGACCCAAACAAAAUAUAAAAAUUCUGAAACUCACCCAAUAUGACCUAUUGACAUCCCUGAUCAUGAAUCAACUUGAAAAUCAAUAUUCUAAGGUCGGAAAGAUCAAAAACAAGAUCAUCCAAUUUAGAAGGCUAAAAUGAUUCUAAAUAUCAACACUUAGCUAAUAUUUUCUAAGUCUGGAACCUCUUUUGGCAUGCUUUAUAUGACUGAAACAACUGGAAUUUUGUGGGGUCUUACAAUAUGUCCCCUUUGGGAACAUUCAUACUCGAAUAAGAUUGACUAAACUGAGAGUAUCUGAGGAAUUAUACUUACACUGACAUACAUAACUGAAGCAUGACUGAAUUCUAAAGACAUGACACAUAACUGAACUUUUUGUGAAUGCAUGAAUUAUAUGAGAAUGUUAUGCAGCUGUACAUGGAAUAAAUUAAAUCUAAGGAAAACUGUUACCUUAGGCUGAGUUUGAGUUUGUGGAGAAGAGGUGAGCAUACUUGGUUCGCAUGUCUGCUUCUUCUUCUAGAGUAGCUCCCUUAACGAACAGAUUCCGCCAAAGAAUUUUGACAAAAGGAACUUUUUGUUCCUUAGUCUGCAAAUCUGAUGAUCAAGGAUUUCGAAUGGAAAUUCCUCAUAAGAGAAACUGUUCUGAAUAUCUACACUCUCUAUAGGGACUACAACUGUUGGGUCACCAAUGCUCUUCUAUAGCAAGGAGACAUGAAACACUUGGUGCACUGAUGCUAAGUCUAUAGGAAACUCAAGUUCAUAAGCUACCUUACCGAAAUGACUAAGAAUCCUAUAAGCACCAACAUAUCGGGGACUAAACUUCCCCUCUUGCCAAAUCUCAUCACUCCCUUCAUGGGAGAGAUUUCCAAAUACAUAAAGUCACCAAUCUCAAACUCGAGAUCUUUUCUUCUCACAACUGCAUACGAUUUUUGUUAGUUCUGAGCUAUCUUAAGGCUCUCUCUGAUUAACUGCACUUUCUCUAAGGUAUCAAACACCAAUUUAGGCCCUACUAAUAUGGCCUCACCUACUUUAAACCAACCAAUGGGAGAUCUACAUCUCCUAACCUAAAGUGUCUCAAACGGAGCCAUCUGAAUGUUGGAAUGAUAGUUGUUAUUAUACACGAACUCAAUCAAAGUUAAAUGGUCAUCCCAACUGCCCUUAAAGUCAACAACACAUGCUUUCAAUAUAUCUUCUAAGGUCUGAAUGGUCCUUUCUACUUGACCAUCUAUCUGAGGGUGAAAGGUCGUACUGAGGUGAACUUGGGUACCAAGAACCUUUUGGAAGGCUUUCCAAAAAUAAGAGAUGAACUCCGUACCUCUAUAUAAAAUGAUAGACAAUGAGACAUCGUGCAAUCUGAACAACUCUCUAACAUAUAUCUUGGCAUAAUCCUCAGCUGAAUAAGAGGUAUGAACUAGCAAGAAAUGGGCUGAUUUGGUCAUUCUGUCCACAAUAACCUAAAUCAAAUCUUGUUGAUGACGAGUAUGAAGAAAACCUGUCACGAAGUCCAUGUUCACUUUCUCCCACUUCCAUGUGGGAAUAUUAAACUCCUGUAUAGACCCACUAGGCUUUUGAUGCUCAAUUUUAACAUGCUGACAUGUAGAGUACUUAGCCACAAACUCUGUAAUGUCUCUCUUCAUCCCACUCCACCAAUAGACUUGCCGCAAGUCAUAGUACAUCUUAGUGGCCCCUGGGUGAAUUGAGUAACGCGCACCAUGCUCUUCUGCAAGAAUCCACUGCCUCACGCCAUCCAUACAUGGCACACACAGUAUACCUUGGCAACGCCAGACACCAUCUCCCCCUUAGGAGAAAACCUCUACUUUCUAAUCUCUGACUGACUCUUUUAGCUUAACUAAAUUGGUAUCUCUGUCCUGCUUCUCUUUUACUUUGGUAACCAAAGAUGAUUUCAAACUAUUCUGCACCCAAACACUACCCUCAGCUGAAUCAACCAAACAAAAAUCUAGUCUAGCAAGUUGAUUAACUUCCUAAACUAAAUUUUUCUUACCAACACUACCCAUGGACAAUCUACUGAGAGCAUCAGCCACUAUAUUUGCCUUGCCUAGGUGAUACAGAACACUCAUGUCAUCUUCUUUCAACAAUUCUAACCACCUUCUCUAACGCAAAUUCAAUCUUUCUGAGAAAAUACAUACUGUAAGCUUUUGGGGUGUGUGAAUACAUCAACAUGCACCCCAUAUAAAUAGUACCUCCAAAUCUUUAAGGCAAACAUAACAGCUGCUAACUCUAGAUCAUGGGUGGGAUAAUUCUUUUCAUGGGGCUUAAUUUGUCUGGAGGCAUAGGCGACAACCUUACUUUUCUUUAUCAAAACACAUCCCAAAUCAACUCUGGAUGUAUCAUAAUACACAACAAACCUAUCUGAACCGUCGGGCAAAGUCAAAGUUAGGGUUGUAGUAGGUCGAGUAUUAAACUCCUGAAAACUCUUCUCACAGGAAUCUGACCACUAAAAUAUGACUUUCUUUUGAGUCAAUCUGGACAUAAGGGAUGCAACAGAUGAAAAUCUUUCAACAAACCAUCAGUAAUAGCCAGCCAAACCCAAAAAACUCCUGAUAUCUAAUAGAGAGAUGGGUCUGAGCCAAUUUCUCACUAUAUCAAUCUUUUGAGGAUCAACUCUAAUGCCAUUACCGAAAACUAUAUGGCUAAGAAAAGCUACUGUCCUUAGCUAAAAUUUCCAUUUACUGAAUUUUGCUAACAACUGGUGGGCUUUGAAGGUCUGUAAUUCUAUUCUGAGAUGGUCUACAUGAUCAUGUUCACUGUAGGAGUAGACAAGAAUGUCAUCUAUGAAAACUAUGAUGAACAUGUCUAAGUACUACUUGAACACUCUGUUAAUCAAGUCCAUAAAAGCUAUUGGGGCAUUGGUAAGACCAAAUAACAUGACUAGACAUUUGACGUGACCAUACCGAGUUUUGAAAGUUGUUUUCAGAAUGUCACAUUCUCUGACUCUGAGUUGAUGAUAGCCUUAUUUGAGGUCUAUCUUAGAAAAGUAACUGGCACCCUGAAGUUGGUCAAAUAAGUCAUCGAUUCUAGGAAGUGGGUACUCAUUCUUGAUGGUGACUUUGUUCAACUAACGGUAGUUAAUACAUAUACUUAGAGAACCAUCUUUCUUAUGCACCAAUAGAACUAGUGCCCCACGGGAAAACACUGGGCUUGAUGAACCCCUUAUCUAGGAGAACUUUCAACUGCUCUUUUAAUUCUUUAUGUACAGUUGGAUCCAUUCUAUAUAGCAGAAUAGAGAUAGGCUGAGUGUCUAUAAGAAAGUCUAUUUUAAAGUCAAUUUUUCUUUCGGGAAGAACUCUGGAAAGAUCUUUAGGGAACACAUCUGAAAAUUCACCUACUACUAGAACUGACUCAAGAUUAGGGGUCUCUAAACUAGAGUCUUUAAAUCAAAUGAGAUGGUAGACACACCCUUUGGAUAUCAUUUUUCUCGCUCUAAGGUAUGAAACAAGCUGACCCCUAAGUGCUAAAGUAUUACCCCCUCCAUUCUAGGACAGGUUAAUUGGGGAACUGAAAAUGGACAACUCUAUUUCAACAAUCAAUUGAGGCAUAGCAUGAAUGAAGCUAAUCUAUGCCGAGAAUGACGUCAAAAUUUGUUAUCUCUAACUCUACUAAGUCUGCUGAAUUAACUUUCUAAAAUACCAUAAUCAGACAGUUUCUGUAUACCCGAUGGGCUAUGAUAGACUUACCCACUGGGGUAGAGACUGAGAACGUCUCUGCUAAGAUUUCAGGACUGAUUCUAAAGACAACAGCUAUAUAAGGAGUUACAAAAGACAAAAACUCCUGGAUCUAGUAAAGCAUAAACAUGUAAAUGAUAAACUUGUAAUGUACCAGUGACCAUAUUAGGAGAACUUUCCUGAUCCUUUCUGGAAUAAAGUGCAUAGAGUCUAUUUUGUAGUUGCCCACUGGUGGCACUAGAAGCAUCACCCUGCUAAGACGGGCGAUCAGACUGAGCUGGGGGAUGAUUAUGCUGACUCUACGAACCCACCUGAGGAUAUUCCCUGACCCUAUGACCUAGCUUGCCAUAUCUAAAACAUACAUCACUGCCAGCUCUGCAGUUAUCCUAAUGGUUUUUGCCAUGCUUCUGGCAAAGUGGAUUUGUUUGGGAACUGCUAACACUACCCUAAGACUUAGAGCCUAGUUCCCCAUCCUUAUUAAUAUUUUUGAAUUUAGGCACCAAAGAAAUAGCUAAGGAUAGAGAUUGAACUAAAAAUUUUGGGUGGAACUGGGGAUGAUUACCACCCUCUGACAUAGGCUGAGUAAAGGUGAUGCUACUUGUUCUAGCGGUUUUGUUCUCCCUCUCUUUCUCUUUAGUCUUCUGCUCCUCUAUCUUUUGAGCAUGGACCAUCAACCUAGCCAAGUCCAUCUCCUUAAUCAUUAUUGUGGUCCUAUAUUCCUUCACCACACUAUCAGACACACCGAACACAAACUUACUCAUAUUAGAUCUGCUAUCAGCUACCAUAUAAGGAGCAUAUCUAGAUAACUAAGUAAUACUCAUUCACUGUCAUGCUGCCCUGCUUCAAGUUAAUGAACUCUAGAACCUUGGCUUUCCUUAACUCCAAUGGAAAGAACCUAUCGAGAAAGGCGAUAGAAAACUCCUCCCAUUCUAUAGGCCCUGCAUCUGCGACCCUAUCUGCCUUCCACUACUUAAACCAUGUAUGAGCUACAUCCUACAACUGAUAUACAAUUAACUCAGCACUCUCACUAGCGGUUACCCCCAUAAUAUUUGCUACCUUAUGCACCAGUCAACGGAGUCUGAGUUUGCAGAGAAAAAGUGAGUAUACUUGGUUCGCAUGUCUGCUUCUAUUUCCCAAGUAGAUCCCUCAACGGACUAAUUCCGCCAAAGAAUUUUGACCAAAGAAACUUCUUUAUUCCUUAGUCUACGAAUCUGCCGAUCAAGUAUUUUGAUUGGGACUUUCUCACAAGAGAGACUGUUCUGAAUAUCUAAACUCUCUAUAGGGACUACAAUUGUUGGGUCACCAAUGCACUUCUUUAGCAAGGAGACAUGAAACACUAGGUGCACUGACACUAAGUUUGCAGGCAACUCAAGCUCAUAAGCUACCUUACCAAAAUGACUAAGAAUCCUAUAAGGACCAACAUAUCAGGGGAUAAUCUUCCCCUUCUUGUAAAAUCUCAUCACUCCCUUUAUUGGAGAGAUUUUUAAAUACAAGAAGUCACCAAUCUAAAACUUAAGAUCUUUCCUUCUCACAUUUGCAUACGAUUUCUAUUGCCUCUGAGCUGUCUUAAGCCUCUAUCAGAUUAACUGCACUUUCUCUAAGGCAUCAAACACCAAGUAAGGCCCUACUACUGUGGCCACACCUACUUCAAACCAACCAAUGGGAGAUCUACAUCUCCUAACAUAAAGUAUCUCAAAUAGAGCCAUCUGAAUACUGGAAUGAUAGUUGUUAUUAUACUCGAAUUCAAUCAAAGGUAAGUCGUCAACCCAACUGCCCUUAAAGUCAACAAUACUCGCUCUCAACAUAUCUUCUAAGGUCUGAAUGGUCCUUUCUGCUUGACCAUCUAUCUGAGGAUGAAAGGUUGUACUGAGGUGAACUUAGGUACCAAGACCCUUUUAGAAUGCUUUCCAAAAAUAAGAGGUGAAUUGCGUACCUCUAUCUAAAAUGAUGGACAAUGAGACACGGUACAAUCUGAACAACUCUCUAACAUAGAGCUUGGCAUAAGCCUCGGCUAAAUAAGAGGUAUAAACUAGCAAGAAAUAGGCUGAUUUGGUCAUCCUGUCCACAAUGACCCAAAUCGAAUCAUGCUGACAACGAGUACGAGGCAAACCUGUCAUGAAGUCCAUGUUCACUUCCUCCCACUUCCAUUUGAGAAUAAUGAACUCCUGCAUAGACCCACUAGACUUCUGAAUCUCAAUUUUAACCUGUUGACACGUAGAGCACUUAGCUACAAACUCUGCAAUGUCUCUUUUCAUCCCAUUCCACCAAUAGACUUCCCAUAAGUCGUGGUACAUCUUGGUUGCCCCUGGGUGAAUCAAGUAAUGCACACCAUGAUCUUCUGUAAGAAUUUGCUACCUCACACCAUCCACACAUGGCACACAUAGUUUACCCUGGCAAUGUAGCACACUAUCCUAACAGACUGACUCUUUCAGCAUAACCAAAUUAGGAUCUCUUUCCUGCUUUUCAUUUACUUUGGAAAACAAAGAUGAUUUCGAACUGCUCUGCACUCAAACACUACCCUCAGCUGAAUCAAACAAAGGAACACCUAGUCUAGGAAGUUGAUGAACUUCCUGAACUAACUUUUUCUUACCAUCCUUAACGUGAGCAACACUACCCAUAGACAAUCUACUAAGAGCAUCAGCCACUACAUUGGCCUUGCCUGGGUGAUACAGAACACUCAUAUCAUCAUCUUUCAACAAUUCUAACCACCUCCUCUGACAUAAAUUCAAUUCUUUCUGAGAAAAUACAUACUAUAAACUUUUAUUGUCAGUGAACACAUCAACAUGCACCCCAUACAAAUAGUGCCUCCAAAUUUUUAAGGCAAACACAACAGCUACUAACUCUAGAUCAUGGGUGGGAUAAUUCUUUUCAUGGGGCUUAAGCUGUUUAGAGGCAUAGGCCACAACCUUACCUUUCAUCAUCAAAAUACGUCCCAAACCAACUAUGGAUGUAUCAUAAUACACAACAAACCCAUCUGAACCAUCGGGCAAAGUCAAAACUGGGGAUAUAGUGAGUCGAGUCUUCAACUCCUAAAAUCUAUUCUCAUUAGAAUCUAACCACUGAAAUUUGACUUUCUUUUGAGUUAAUAUGGACAUAGGGGAUACAAUUGACGAAAAUCCUUCAACAAACCAUUGGUAAUAGCCAGACAAACCCAAGAAACUCCUAAUAUCUAUCGGAGAGAUAGGUCUGGGCCAGUUUCUCACCACUUUGGUCUUUUGAGAAUCAACUCCAACUCUAUCACCGAAAACUAUGACCAAGGAAAGCUACUAUCCUUAGCCAAAAUAUGCAUUUACUGAAUUUAGAGAACAACUGGUGGGCUCUGAGGGUCUGUAAUUCUAUGCUGAGAUGGUCUGCAUGAUCAUGUUCAUUGCGGGAGUAGAAAAAAAUGUCAUCUAUGAAGACUAUAAUGAACAUGUCUAAGUACUACUUGGACACUCUGUUCAUCAAGUUCAUAAAAACUACUGGGGCAUUGGUAAGACCAAAUAACAUGACUAGAAAUUUGAAGUAACCAUAUCGAGUUUUGAAAGUUGUUUUCGAAAUGUCACAUUCUCUGACUCUAAGUUAAUGAUAACCUGAUCUGAGGUCUAUCUUAGAAAAGUAACUGGCACCCUGAAGUUGGUCAAAUAAGUCAUCGAUUCUAGGAAGUGGUUGCUUGUUCUUGAUGGUGACUUUGUUCAACUAACGGUAGUCAAUACAAAUUCUAAGAGAACUAUCUUUCUUAUGUACAAAUAAAACUGGUGCACCCUACGGGGAAAUACUAGGCCUAAUGAACCCUGUAUCUAGGAGAUUUUUCAACUGCUCUUUUAAUUCUUUAAGUUCAAUUAGAGUCAUUCUAUAUGGAGGAAUAGAGAUAAGCUAAGUGUCUAUAAGAAGGUCUAUUCUCAAGUCAAUUUCCCUUUUGAGAGAAACUCCGAGAAGAUCUUCUGCAUGAAAGACAUACUCGUCCAGGGGAUCUGCCUGAACAGGCGGAGGUAUUGGCUAGCUUCCAGUUCUUCUUCUAUUGGUCUUUUUAGAAGUAAUAGUCUAUAAACAAAAGGGAAAAUUAGAUUAGAUAGAGAUUUUAACUUGAGCUCAUGCUCAUUCGCACGACAUAAAUACUGAAAGAAGGGAAACUUUUUCUAAAAAUGCCUCAUAGCCUCUUGUCCCUAAGUGUGACACGUUACACACCCAUGCAUAAGACUCUAUUUGGUGCGGCUUUCAGACUCCCUAGGACUCUUUAGAACCUUAGGCUCUGAUACAAAGUUUGUAAUGCCCCGAGUCUACAACCUGGAUGUCACACGGUACUUACAAUCCCGAAGGACCACAACCUAACCCAUGACUAGUACCUACUAAAAACAUAAGUGGAAGUAAAAACUAAAAUUCCAUAAGGUUCUCAAAAUACUAAAAUAAUAAGUGAACGUAAAACUAAAGUGCCAUAAGUUUCUCAAAAUACUGAAAUAACAAGUGAACGUACUGAUAAUAGUAUCUAAAAAACUAAAAACUGAAUGUGCUAGUCUGAAAGCCUCUAACUGUCUGAAUAUGGAGUUGAUGGGAUAAGUCCCCAACUAACUCCGACUACUGAACUAAAUAAAAUACUGAAAUGCUAAAAUAAAAUGUUAUACUCGCAGGAUGAGGACUCACUACUAUAACAGCUACUGAUAGCCUAAGCUGCUAAGUACAGUCAGGAACCUGAGCAUCCAAACCUAUGAUAGGAGACAUCAUAGCUCAAACAAAGAGUAUGCAUCAGUAUGUAGGAUAUACUGGUAUGCUAUGUGAGGUAGGACGGUAUACAUGGGUUCAUAUGCUUGAGAUAAUAAUUGACUGAAAGAACAUCAUAGAAUAACUAAAUAAGAGUACAUGAAAAAACUGUAACUAUUGAUCGUGCUGAAUAUGCAAUACUGUGCAUAUAACCUUUGCCUAAAUUAGACUGAUAUUGAAGUACUGAGUUCUGGUAACUAAAUACUAGUAAUUGAGGUUUAGACGAAUACUGAAGUACUGGAUUUUGAUGACUAAGUAACUGUUAACUGAUAGCCAUGGUUCUGUAGAACUAUCAAAGUUCUUUACAAAAUUCUAAGACUGAAUACAGAUUUCUAAGUAAUAAAUACUAAAACUGUAACUGUAGGAGUGCCCAUCUAACUGAUAUAACCCAAUUAUAAAUUGAGUUAGGGUCAAACCUGUGACCCCACUUGGAAGGGUGUAAGCACUUUGCCAAGGGAUACUAACAAUGUAGUGUCAACCCUAAUUUAGCAGGAAGACUCAUGAAUUGUAUAUAUGAUUGUGUCAACCCUAAUAUGGUAGGAGGACGACUUACCCUACGUUUGUUAUGUAGUUCUGUAAUACAGGGAAUGCUACUAAGGGUCAAACCCUCUGCUGGUAGGAAUUCCCCUAUCCCUGGGUUCGCUCGGUGCUAAAUCCUACUCCCAACUAAAUAAAUACUGAACUGAUCACUAGACUAUACUAGGAUUGACUAAACUGAUACUGAUCAUAUUGACUAACUGAACUGGACUGAGUUCACUAAGUUCUGUAACUAACAGAGUACUACUGCUUGUGACAUUACUGAGAUCAUUUUGUAUCUACUGUAAUUCCAGGUAAAUAGCUAGAUUGUCGGGUAUUGAAUACCCCUAAAACUCGAUAACAUCAAUAGUAAAACAUGGCAAAAUCUUGAAGGCAUUACAUUAGUUACUUGUCCAGUAUGCAUUCAUUUAGACAUUUUGUCAAACACUUGAGAGGCAUGAACUUGUACAUAAAUGGGACCACAUGUAACAUGUCAUAAAUUCACUACUCAAUUUACAUAGGCAUUCUAUCAAACACUUGGGGAGCAUAAUUAAUGCACAUAGAAUUCAUCAAGAUAUAAAUAUCAUGGCUACAACACUCAACUUGCAAUUCAAGGGUUUAACAUGAGGGUCACAUAAUUCUACAUACUUGCUAAUUAAUUCACUUGAAACUUGUAAUGAGUGUUGGUUUGAAAAUCAUAAAUCAAUACAUACAUAAAGACAAUCUAAUUCAAACAUAUAAAUCAUGAAAUCAAUAAACUUGUAAAAAGGGGUUCUUAGACUCCAAAGGUGGAAGGAAACCCAAAGCUGAACACCUAACAUACAUUGAUUAUUAAUUUCGUGAAAAUUGUGAUGAGUUCUUAAGACUUCAUUCUUGAGCUUGAUGAACAUAGGGUUUGUUCUUGAGAGGUUUUCGAGAAUAAUGAGUGUAUUUAGCCCUUUAAGAUAUUAAAUCUCGUGUUUUAGCUGAAUUAGGUGAGGGGAAAAGGACCUAAAUUCCCUUGGAAACUCAAAAUUCAACACACAAAAACUGCCAAGUGACGUGAUUAGUGACACGAUGUGUCGAUGGGAUUGAUGCAAUCACCGAUGCAUCGCGUCGAUGAGUGCAAUGUGGUAGACAACGCGACGCAUCAAUAUCGCGUUGGCUUGCUAUUUUGCCCAUCCAAACAUGACCCAAACGAAAUCCAAAAAUUAUCUAGCUCACCCAAUAUGACCUAUUGAUAUCCCUGAUCAUGAAUCAACUUAAAAAUUGACAUUUUAAGGUUGGAAAGAUCGAAAACAAGAUCAUCCAAUUUCAAAGGAUAAAAUGAUUCUAAGUCUUAACACUUGGCUGAAAUUUUCUAAGUCUGGAACCUAUUUUGGUAUGCUAUAUAUGACUGAAACAACUGGGAUUUUGCGAGGUAUUACAGGAUCAGCUCGCCUAUGAUGAAAAAAACUCUAUGUAGUUACUUCUUGUACAAUAUCUUGCAUUGUUUAUCAUGUAUGUGAUCUAACACAUCUGCCUUUGAGUUAUUUUACUUUGCAGAUAAUAGAAACCUACUUUAUGUUGAAAUAAGUUGGUUAAACAUCCUUACUUCACCUAGUCAAAAGCUAUUAAAGUCCCAUCCCCUAGCCAUAAGUCAAAUUUAACUAAAAGUGAUGAGGAUAACACACUAGCCAUUGGGACAAUAUGAUAACAUAGCAAAGCAAGACAAUUGUUAAACUUGCGAGAAAACUGGAAAUGCUCCAAGAGGAGAUGAAUUAUACUAGAGAUUUGGCUAAUAUGGCUAUCACCAUCAAUGCCCCUGUCCUAAGAGGACACAGGCUUCCACUCCAAAUUUCUCCCCUUAAUACUCCUAUUCUCGAAAAUCAUCCAACUAGCAUAUCAUCCGCCUCCGCUUUCCAAUUGCCCAUAGAUCUCAGAAUCAAUAAUCCACUAGUUCGUGUUGGCUAAAACACCAAUCGACAAAACAACCCAAAUGUUUAUCAUCAACAUAUUCCAUCCCUAAAUCAGCAAAAUCUAUCUCCAAAUCCACAAAAUCCACCUCUAAAUCCAUAAAAUCCAUCUCCAAAUCCAUAAAAUCCAUUUUCAAAACCAAAAAAUCAUUUUCAACUCUACAAAAUUCGUCCUUAAUUCUAUAAAAUCCCUCUCAAAUUCCACCAGACCACUCUCAAAUUCCAUAAAUUAUCCUUAAUCUCCAAAAUAUUUUCCCUACCUACCACUCAACCUCCUCUCAUCCUCAAAAUCAAGCUACCAUCUUAAAUUCUUCUUAUGUCAUUACAUCUCCUAACAUUUCCAACACCUUUUCUAAUUUUGAGGUAGACCAUUAUGAGUAGAAAGAAAGGAAUAUAGGAUAAAGCAUGAAAAUAAAUUUCUGGCCAUGAAUGAAGAGAUUAUGAGAAUCAAGAAAUCUCAAGGGAUAGGGGAUAGUGAUGGUUUGGAGUGCGAUAAUCUGUGUGUUCACCCUGGUGUAGAUUACUAGAAAGGUACAAGAUCCCUAAACUCAAAGUGUACAACGACACUAGAAAUCAAUUGGCUCAUCAAAGAAGGUAUUGUGAUCAAAUGGUUAGGGUAGGAAGAAAUAUGCCAUUACUAAUGUACCUAUUCAGCUGAAGCUUAAGCGGCAAAGCUUUAGAUUGGUUUAUGUAUCAGGAACUAAAAAGAUUGUCUAGUUGAAGGUUAUUGGCUAAAAGCUUUCUUGAUAGGUUUGUAUUUAACAUCAAAAUUAUCCCUGACAGACACUCACUAGAUCGGAUUAAGUAGAAGAAUAAUGAGUGUUUCCGAGACUAUGCCUUCCAUUGGAUAAAAGAGGUUGCUAAGGUAAAACCUCUCAUGUCUAAAUAGGAAAUGCUGUCAUUAUUCUCUCGUGCUCAAGAGGGAGAAUUUUAUAAUAGGAUAGUAUCAGUGGCCAGGGCAACAUUCGCAUAUUUGGUAAAAUUGGGAAUCGCUAGAAGAAGACAUUUGAAUAGGGAAGAUUCUCAAAACCCCAACAUCAUCUGAGUCUUCUGUGUUUACCAAGAAAAAAAGGGAAGAUGUGACUACGAUCUCUAUUAAUUUUAUUGCUAAAUUAAAGAAGAAGAAAUUCAAGCCCAGGAACAUUCUUUCUUCUCCACUGCCCCUCAGUCUUCAAUCUGUAUUCUAUGCCCAACCCCAAUACUAAGCUCCACUUCCAAAUAUCCAAUCCCAAUACAAAGCUCCACUUCCAAAUAUCAAAUUCCAAUACCAAGCUCUAUAGCCAAAUGUCCUACCCCACUACCGAGCUCCACAACUAAAUAUUUUAACCCAAUAUCAAGUUUCAUAACCAAAUUAUUAGCCUUAUGUCCAUGCCAACCUUCCAAUCCACCAAAUGAACAUCCAAGAACCUCCAAACUAUAUUCAAGUACCUCCUCCCGCUAAUCAAAACCAUUAUAAUCUCCCUCGUCCAAACUUAGAAAAAAAACUCCUCGAAACUUCAUGCCAUUAUCUGAGUGUCGUACCUAACUCUUCGGAAGAUUAAAAGCAACCGGUUAUUUACACCCUAUCCAACAAAAACAUACCAAUCUUAAUUCUUAAUUUUUUUAUACCAAUCAAAGUUUCGUCUAUUAUUCAGGAGCGACUGAGUACAAUAUCAAAAAUUAUGUUUACCUUAAACAUAAGAUCUAAGACUUGAUCAAAAGGUUAUUAACCACCCAUCACCUAUGUUAGAUAUUGACAUAUCCAUUUACUAAUCAUGGGGGAGCCAUGGUUAACAUGAUCAAAAAAGAAGGCGGAUGUGUGUCUAACAAGGCUAUUACUAAGAUGGAUUCAGAAAAGUCCAAAAUAAUAGAAGGAGUGGAGAAGAAAGAGAAAGCCAUGCACACUUUUAAGUGUUAAUGAAAGACCCCCAUUUGUAGUGAUGACUGCCCUAACUCAAGUGUAUAUUCUACCACCACCUAGAAAAGACUUUAUUGUAGAGACUGUUGCUACUCAAGAGAUGACAUGAUCUAAACGAUACUAUAUUCCUGAAGAUUUGAAAAAUAGGAAGGAUUCACAGAAAAGGCCAAUUACUGAAGGGGAGGCUAAAGAAUUUUGGAGGCGUAUGCAGCCAAAGGAGUAUUAAAUUACUAAGAAUUUAGAAAAAAAUCCAACCCAGAUUUCUAUUUAGGCACUAUUAAUGAGUUCACAAUACCACCGAUAAGCUUUAUUGAAGUCCUAGAUGAAGCAUAUGUUCUCCCAGGCACGAGUGUUGAAAAUAUGGCUACAAUGAUAAGGAAUAUUAUGGGAAGUCACUACAUAUCGUGACUUUAUGAUUAAUCAGGUAUUGAUAGAUGACAGAUCUGAUUUGAAUAUUUAUCCUCUUUCUACAUUGGAUCAAAUGGGCUAUGACUUGGGAAAGGUUCGCUAAAGCCAUGGUAAUAUGCGAGCUUUUGAUGGAGGAAAAAGAGAUACUAUAGGUGAAAUUAACUUUUACAUCUAGAUGGGACCUGUUGAAUUCAAUGCUAAAUUUUAUGUUACUAUUCAUCCUAGUUACAAUCUACUUCUGGGGAGGUCGUGGAUUCAUGGUGCAAAAGCAGUUUUGUCAACUCUUCAUCAAUUAUUGAAGUUUAUUUGGGAAAACCAUGAGGUAGUCAUUCAAAGAGAAGGAAGCCAUUUAAGUCAUCCCAACGGUUAUGUGCCUGUGAUUGAAUAUAUUCAAAGGGGUAGUAGUUUUUAUACGGUUGAAAUUGUAAAUGCUGCAGAGAAUGAUCUGGCACCCCAAAUGCCUAUGCCCUCCAUAUAUAAGAUGAUGGCGUCUGUGAUGUUAAGAAGUGGGUUCAAGCCAAGUCAGGGCUUAGAAAAGAAUUUAGAAGGAAUCAUUGAGCCGAUCGUGAUCCCCAAAAACUCAUUUAGAUAUGGGUUAGGGUACCAACCAACAAAGAAAGAUGAGAAUGAAGAUAAGUCAAAGAUGGGUCUACCCAAGCUAUUGCCACUCUUGUACUAGUUAUUUCCUGUAUGUGAGGUGUCAAUAGAUGAUGGUCUUGGGGAUGGAAUUGGAAAUCUGUUUGAAGAAUUCAAUGCCAUAUGAGAAGAUUUUUGAGAGGCUAGUGGGGUGAGGAGGGUUGCACUAGGAGACUUUGCAGAAUUGGACCUCCACUCCACUCAUGAAUCGUCGCCCGUUGUGGCAAAUAAAAAUGACAAAUACUAGUAAUUUUAAAAAUUGGUGAUGAUCCGGAGGAGGCCCCACGAUCCACCCUGUUUACGUCUCAUAUCUCUUUUUUUGUAUUUUUACUAUUUUAAAAAAGGCAUGGGCUCAUACUUGUACAAGUCAUAAGCCAUAGUUUGUAAAUAUUUCCUGAAUUUUAAUGAAAAGGCCUCACUUUAUCUAAAAAGUUAUUUUGAAGUAUGAUCAUAUUUAUUUUACUAUUUUGUUAUCAUUUGACUUGGUUUGUUUGUCUAUUUUAGUAACAAUAAUUUAAACCUGCCAAUGUCAUGUCAUGUCAAAGGCUAAAUGCACAAAGCAGGGUGAGUAAUGAUGAAUUGAAAGACUAUGAUGAGGAGCAGUUAGUGGAAUAUAUAGAAGAAUUUAAAAAUUAGGAGAAGCCCAACCUGGAGGAAAAUAAAAUAGUCAACAUGGGAGACCACAGUGAAGUCAAGAAAACAAGAGUUAGUGUUCACCUAAUAGGGGCACAGAAAAGAGAACUCAUCCACUUGCUAUGGGAAUACAUUGACAUAUUUGUUUUUUUCUACGAUGAUAUGAAUGGGAAUACAUUGACAUAUUCAUUUGAUAAACAACUCUUGUUCCUUGUUUCUUGUCACACUUAUGUGGAUAGAUAAGUUAGCUCUUUCUUGAAAGGUUGUUCGAGUGAAAGAGAUGUGAGGUGCUUAAGUUGUUUGUUCUUACCAUCAUAUGAUCUUGUUCUUGGUAGCACUUUAAGUGAUCAUAACUCUUUUCAUUCUAUUUUCUUCAUUUGUAAGCAUAAUUAUGUUGGUGCUAAGUAUGUCUUGUGUGUAAACAUGGUUUCUUGUGAAUGGAAGGGUAAUCUACACCAUAAUGACUCCUUGAUUCUAUCCUUAGUUGUUCCAAAAUGUGAUGAUUCUUUUGGUAACAUGGUUAAUGGAACUAACUGAGGAGAAUUUGUUGAUCCUUAUCAUAGCCAACUCUUUUGCACUUUAAAUGUUGGCUUCCCUUCUAUUGUCUUGAAAGAUAUUUGGUUAUAUGUGAAAUAGGUGUCUCCUUGGCAUGGAUGUUUUUAUUUUAACCCAUGUGCUAACCUUCGUGCCUCGAGAAAAUGUUGGUUGUGUUUUCUUCUCUUAUGUUUAAAGGUUGUAGAUUUGAGGACGAAUCUUCUUCAAGAAGGACUGGAUGAUGCAAUCCAAAUGGCCUCCAGAUUGCUAGAGAAGAUGAUACACUUGAUGACUUCUUGUUGGCUAUCAAAAGGCAUCCAUUAGAUGAUUAUGAUUAUCAAGGAGGCUCAAGGGACGUUAGAGAGGCCAAUGGAAGACAAAACGGGGAUAAAAAGCCCCCAAGAAGAUGAAAUGAGCCCCAUCCGUUUUGAAGGUGCGCCUAACCCACUCUAGAUCUACUAGAGCAGGUUAAAACAGCCCACUACACCUUGGGGAUAUGCCCCAUAUUCUCAAUCAUGUGCCUAAUGGGUUUCUAUGUGUUUGUCUUUCUUAAAUGGGUCACUUUUUGGCCCAUAUGAUGUAAUAACUUAGCCUAGGCUAUAAAUAGGACUUCUCUUUCAUUUAGUAGAUAGAUUAUUGAUGAAUUAUGAAUAUGAACACUUGUGAGAGUGUGAGGCAAGUGUGGCAUCGCUUUUAUUGAUACUUUAUUUAGAAAUGGGAUUGCUUGGGAAUCGAUUCCCUUGAGGUCUACGUGCGAUUUAGGUGCUUUGUUUGAAAUAUUGAUUAAGAGUUUAGGGUUUGAGAUACCCUUUAUUUGCUUUCAAUUCCUUUCAUUGCAUCUAUCUUACUACUUUUUCAUUCUAUUUUUAUCUUUCUAUUCGUAUCUUAGUUGUAGUUUUCGAUUCCAUAGUUAGUUCGUGUAUCAGUUUGCCCAGGGUUACUUGCAUCCACCCUACCCAAAGGGAGGGGGCAGUUGUUGACACUUAAUUUUUGCCCUCCACGACUAAGUUUAAUUUUGAGUUUCUUUGAUUUUAAAUAAAAUUAUAACAUUUAUUUUAUUCUGAUAAAAACUUUUCAAAGUAUUUAUUUGAGUAAUUUUUUCAUUUUAAGUAACGAUUAUAUAUAUUUUUUUGUAAUCGCACAUACAAAAUCAUAUAAUUUCGUUAUUUAAAUGAUUGUUUUACGAAAAAAUAAACUUUAACAAAGGAUUAUCUUGAAAAUUGAUUCAAAUGGUUAAAAUCUUGAUCUAAAUAUAAUUUACUCUCAAAAAUAAAUUAUUUGAAAAAAUAUUUGCUUGAUUUGAUUGAAUCAAGAAGCUUGGGAUUGAAUUGAUUGUUAAUUUAUUUCAAAUGUUGUUUUAAUUUAUUCAAUUCAUUAAAUUAGACCUUAAUUGAAAUAAAUUCAACCAUAAUUGCAAUGCAAUUGAUUGAUUGAAUUUUAAUUAGUGUACGAUUUAAAUAGAAUCAUCUAAAUUUUUAUUUGUGGGCCAUUUAAUAAUUUUCUUUUCCCUAAUUAAAAACCACACCCCUUUUCAAUUAAUGAACCUGACUUAGGCCCAACAUAAUUUCAGCACCAGCAGCCCAACAUCAACUGCACCUAACCCGAUCCACAUUUCUCCUUUACCCAUUCCAGCUACAACACCACAAUAGACCAACCCAACAAUUUCAGACCACAAGAUCCGCCAACCCCAGCCAAACCAGCCCCUCUAACCCGGCCCACAUCACUUUUCUCUCUUCCUUAACCCCAACACAAUCAAAACAACCCAGCGUACAACAACCAAAACAACUUCAAUGAAAAUACCAACGUACAACAACAAUUUCAGCGAUAUCAAUGGUUCAGCCAAUGCCGACCCGGGCUCUGACCUAAAUUCAGUCGCGAAACCCAUCUAUUCUCUUUCCUCCUUUUGAUUUGUACAUGUCACUUGACCCUCCACAUGGAUUUUUAUGGUCGAAGGAACUUGAAUCUUCUAGAAUCGACAAGGUGGCCUCCCAACAUUCAAUUUUUUUCUUUUUAGAAUAGAGUGGUAUGAAUUAGUACGUUUGUGUGCGAAUUGCAUUGGUUUUGGGGGAAUUUACCUUUUCCCCAAUUUUUAUUGGUUUAACCCAAUUUCAAAAUUCUUCAGAGAGUCCAAAAUCAUUAGAUUGAGGAAAAAUCUUGUUAUCAUCCAAAAUUUUGAAAAUAUUUCAGUUAAAAAAUUUUGAAAUUACCUUCGUUUUCCCUUUUUCCCACAUUGUUUGAAGCCCAAAAUUUAAUCCCCAAUUCCUUAUAAAAAAGGUUCUCUUUAGAGAAAAUAUGGGCUACGUACGGAAGGUGCAAAAAGCUUUAGAGAGAAAAAAGUUUCAUUUUCUAGUUAAAAAAAAAUCGUGAAAAGUCGUCGAUUCCUUGAUGUUCUCGAAGUCGUAGCGAAGCUUUUUGAUAGUGGUCGAUAUUUUGUCGGAGGCUCAAGUUUCGCUUUGUUGCUCUAAAACAGGUAAUACUUCGUCUCUUUUAGUUUCAAUAUUUUCUUCUUCUAGUCGAUUUGUCAGUGUUUUACUCUUAUAAUCAUGUUUUUAGUAGCUGUACAAAUGCUAGAAAUUAUUAUAUGUAGAAGGCUUUGAAAGCCAUUAGAUUUUUGUGUAUUGUGAUGUUAUGUCGGGCUUAGUAUGAUUACUGUAAAUAUUGGACUCACUGUUCAACUUAGCAUUUCGUUAGUCUGUUAAUCUAAUGUUGGUUAAGUUGUUUUAAGCUACAAUUAGGCUCUUUUGAACAUGUUUUCUUUAUCAUACUAGUGCAACUUAGCUUUUCUUGGAAACCAUCUUGUGUUCCCUCUUGAAUUCAUUGCAUAUUUGAUGUGUUCUACCUAUGAUUGCUGUCGAUUUCAUGAUAAGAUUAUUUAUAUUCUUUAUUCAUACGUUAGUAUAGCUUCUUUUAAGUACACAUACUUACGAACAUGAACAAGGCUAUAUUUUAUUCCUAAAUGGUGUCGAAAAUUCUCCAUUACUUACCUCAACAUGUGUUGUUUUUGGGGUAUUUUUGGACCAUUGUAAGCUGGAAUCUCCUAAUUAAGUCAAGCAUUUUCUUUAACGUUCUGUUUAUUUAGGCAAUAUCAUGUUUUUGUUUUCUUUGUUUAAUUCUUAGCCCGCUUACAGUAACUUGAUUGUGUUUUAGCUUUGCCUUACAACCAUUAUUUCCCAUGUCAAGAUUUGUUUUACUGUUGUGAGUAUAAUGAAAAGCUAGGCAUGUCAUUAUCUUUUUUGUGAAAAUUUGUUCUUUUCUUUCAUGAAAAUGUUCAGACUUUCCAAUUGCUAUAAGUUUUGACUGCUGCUUUCAUUAUUAUUUUCCUUAUAUUUUGGUUUCAAAAUACUUGUUUUGAUAAAAUUGGAUGCUAUAUAGCCUUGUAUUUUCUUUUGGCUUCCCAGCUAGUAGUUAUAAUCUUGUCCACAUUUUAAUCAUAUUCCUUUCUUGGUGUAAUCUUGAAUGAGAUUAUGUGUUGUUUUGAUUAGUUGACAAUGAAGUAAUAACAUUUUGAUCAUGAAAUCGUUCAAAUGAGUUCGCAAAGUGUUUAUAUCCCAUCUAUAUUUUCAUUAAUUGAAUGAUUUGGUUAUCAAAUAUAUAUUACUAUCUUUCAAAUGCAAAGAAAUCUCAUAUCAAGACACUACGUGUUUAGCGUGUUGCUUAAUAAUUUGACUAUCUGGAGGCAUAUCCUCAUUUCAUUUUUAUUAUUAAUUUUCUUUAUAUUUUCCUUCUUUCUCUGGUUGAUUAUGUGUUAACUUACUUUGCUUUUUCUUCCCUUAUUUCUUUUGUUGAUCAUGUAUUAACGUUCUUUAUUUUUCUUGCUUUGCAUGAAAAUUCCUUGAGAGUCCAAACGGACUCUUUACCCUUUGCAUUUCAUGAUGGGCCAAUAAGGCCCAUCUAUUGACUCAACCCCUUCAAUUGUUUCAAGUCAAAUUGAUUUUUGGAGGAAGAAGUUGUCGCCAAUGGAAGAAAAUGGGUUCAAAACCCAUUGAUCAAGUUGCGAAGAUUUGGAGACUAGAAAAGUCUUGAUUCUUUUGUUAUUAUUGUAUUUUUAUUUAUCUAUUUGUUUAUUCAUUCAUUUUGGGGCCUCGAAACCAAAUUUGUAAAUUAAUACAAGUGAAGUGGAUUUUUGGGCCUUCAAGCCCAAAUUAGCUUAGGACAGAUUUUCGUGGGUUUGGGCCUAAAAGUCUAAAUCUCGUAAUUUUUCCUUUCCCUUUUUUAUGUUAAUUUACUAUUUGUUCCUUCGAACCUAACUAAAUUCCCUACUAAGUCACCAAAUUGAUUUUGCACAAGUUUUCUUCUUUCUUAAUCACUUUCUUUUCAAAACUCAACUUCUUUUUUUCAAAGCUAGUCAAAGAUGAUUUUCAAAUAGUCUGAAUAACCACAAGUUAGCGGAUGUUUUAGGUGCCUUAAAAUCUUCCUAAAACAUUAAUAAGAACCUCUUACCUGGGAUUUUCUUGAAAAGUCUAGGUUUUUUUCUGUUUUAAGACUUAGAAUUUUCUUCAAAAAGUUUUCUUAAUUUCUUUUCAUAUAAAUUAAGUGGUGACUCUGUAAUUUCUUGUUUCAAAAUUUUCUUUAAAGUUUCGAAAUGGUUUAAAUAAUCAAAAAAGGAUAAAACAAGAUCAACCCGAGUAUCCAACUCAUCCUGAAAAGUCUUUCAAAUGUGAGAUGUGAACACAAAACCUUGAUCUAAAAUGAUAGAUACUAGGACAACAUGUAGCUGCACAAUUUCACGAAUGUAGAUAUGAGUUAACCUCUCAGCACUGAAAGAGACCUACACCAGAAUGAAAUGAGUGUCGUACUUUAUUUCGAACCGGUCGAAACAGCACACGACAUAUGGUGGCCUGUGUCGUGACACUUGGGAUUUGAAAAUUUAUUUUUUAGAGCCGCCACCUAAUUUUUUAGAAAAAUUAGGAAAAACUCAUUUUUUAUGUCGAAAUCUCUGUUUUGGUCUUUUGAAAAUAUUUAGAGUUCUGAGUAAGGGUUUUGGUUACUCGAGGGGAAGGUGUUAGGCACCCCUCAGAGUUUAUCCGAGGAUAGUCCUUAUGCUUAGUUUAGGAAGUCAUUGCUUUUAUUUAUUUGCGAAAAUUGUGAUAAGAAAACUUUCAUCAUUAUUUUCUAGUGAUAAGAAAACUUUCAUCAUUAUUUUCUACUUGUUAUUUUAUAUAAAAGAUAGAAAACUGAAGGUAUAAUACACGUGAUGCUACCAUGUACAAGGAAAUAAUGCAAUCAUCGCAUAUGUAUAUAUGUUACAUGGAUAUUUUAAGAUAUGAAAAAUAGCUUUUUAUUUUUUAUGAUUCGGAUAAUAAAGGGAAAAUUUAUUAUCCUUACAUGUAUAAAAUUGAAUAGGUAAAUAAAAUUUAUAAAAAUACUUUAAGGCAUGGAAUAAUUUAAGACAAAACACGAAUAUGGAUAUAUUUGAAAGUACGAAAAAAAAUUUACUUAAUUUGUGAAACUUAAAUAGAUUUAGAUUAGAAAUAAGCGAAAAGAUAAAUGUGAUAAUAUGAUACAUAAGCGUAAGAAGCUUGAGAUAAUGAUAAUAACAACAACAACAACAACAAUAAUAAUAAUAAUAAUAAUAAUAAUAAUAAUUGAAAUAGUAACAAAUAUUAUAGUGUAAAUAAUAAUGGUAAUAAUAAAUAUGAUGUAAAAUAGUAGUUGUGAAAAUAAUAUGAUGUACCUUGUACGUGGUAGCGAAAGAAUAUAUAACCUUGCGUAAUCUCUUGAGAAUCCGAAAACCCAAACGAACAUAGAAACAUAAAAUAGCUUGAACGUUAGUGUUACGUAAAAAAAAAAGAGUUAAAGUUGAUGAAUGAACUCUUUUAGAAAAAUCUGAAAUUUUGAUAACUUUCUUGAGUAAGUUAAAACUAAAAUUUUAUUUAUUUUUAAAAAAUAUGAAGGUUGCUAAUCUUAUUUAGGAUAUCGGUAAUAAGUUUUCAAAGAGUUAACCGAUUAUGGUAAAAAAAAAAAAAUGCUUGGUGAUAGCCACGUGUUAUUUGUGAAAGUCGGAGUGUUAAAACUACUUUUAAAGGGUCGACAAAUAACAAGAUAACAUAAAUUUAAUAAUUAAGAAAAGUUUUUUAAAAAAUUCAAUAACAAAAGUUAGUAUCAUUCUAAAACUCAACAUGACAAGUAUAAAUUAAAUUCAAAGGAGAUAAGAGAUACUAAACUCCUUUAGGAGUUUGGGCUUCUAAUUUGCGCGACUCCGAAGCUCUGCGAUCCUAGUAGCGUUUGACCCGAUACUUGGGUCAAAAAAUGAGUUUCGUUGGAAUUCCCAACUCCCGAGUUCACAUGAAAAAUAAAAAUAUAAGGAUUAAUUGCCGAACAAGUAUAAGAAUUAAAGAAAAUACAGAUUACAUGUAUAUUGAAUUUAAACCUCUACUCACCAAUCAUACCAACACAUGACUACACCCAUUAACUAAUUAUAGCGGGAUAAGACUAAACUAUUUACGAUAGACUUCAUUUCUUAAAUGUAAUUAGCAUGCAUAUUGAAGUCAUCCAGACUUAUUCAAAAGGGCUCAAGGAAAUAGAUGGGAUAACAACCAACAAAGCUUCUGGAAACUUGAAUUGAAUGACAACCAACAUAUUCUACACCUAUUAUUAAACAUUCCCAAUUAAAAGAAAAGCCAAAUCUCUAAAACUUUGCAACUUGAGGCGUAAUCAGUUUCACUUGGGAAAGACUUUCUUUCAAUUUUCAUUAUCCGAGUGAUAAUGAAGGCACUACAAAUGUUUAAAAUAUACUACACACGGACCAGAUUUGACCAUCCAAAUAACAAUUUUCUUUUAUAACUUGAAACAACUCCUCGAUGAAAGAAAGAAAAGAAUGGAGCAAGGAUUCGAGAAUUAACAGUGUAUUUAGGAAUCAUUUAAUUAGGCUUCAGUCAAAACUUUUUAGGCAAUGCUCGGGACAAAAUUAUCCUAUCGAAAUUGACUCGGAAUUUAAAGAAAAUGACACCACAGUAAACCCAAAACAAAGCAACUUUCAAAUUUACCAAAAUCCAACAAUAUCAAUAGGAGUAAGUUAAAAUAAAGCGUGAUAGAGGCUUGUCUCUAUGUUGGCAUUUGAAUUUCGUUAGCCAAAGAUUUUCUUACCUUUCAACUAACCAAGUAAAAGCCAAUCAACUUUAACAUCCAUAAAACAUAAAAAAAAUUUGCAACCCACGACCAUGUACUAGACUUAAAAUAGGAAGAUUAACCUAUACCAUGAAAUAAUGAGAAUGGAGCAUCAAGGAUGAGAAUAAAACAAAACAAAGCUAACCCAUGUCACUGAGCAACGGAAACAAAACAAAGUGCCUAGAUGCCAAACUUAUCAAAAUUCUAAUUGAUUUGCAUGUUUUGAAAAGCUAUCAGAACAAACAUAUCAAAAUUUAUGCGAUGCUUAAGGUGUUCGUCUUAAAAUGUUCCUAGCAGCCCAUCGGAGUAGACAGAUAUAUUUUCGACUAGUAGCGUGAGCACGCAAGGGAGUCAAACAAACUAAAAAAACUUUUCAAAACUCCAAAUAAAAGAUGAUGAAAUAUUUUUAUUUAUUCAAGAAUGGAAGAAAGAGCACAUCCAUAUUAACUUGGUGAUUGAAACAUAGCCAUUAAGGAUGUUACCAGGAAAGCUAGUGAUUGAAGUCUCAAACCUUAUGCAAAUCUUACUCAAAGUGAGUCGUUAGCCAUAAAUAACCAGAAAUUUUAACACCAAAAAACCGAAGAAUAUGAAUUCUUUUUUUUUGACGCCAAACAACUAGAGGCUAUCUUUCUUAUUUCAUGUUUCCACAUUUUAUGUCCAAAUGCCGAAUGAGAUUACAAAAAGAGAAUCAAAAUUUUACUUCUUUCCUUACAAAGGCAAAAGGAAGUGUUAACAAAUUUUAACAUUGAAGCCAGAUCACAUACUUCCAUUGACAACAGAGUGGUCCUAUUACUCAUGGACUUAUUUUUCUUCUUUUCCAUAAACAAACUCCUGAAAAUUCUUGCAAAAAACUUACAUAAAUCCUAACGAGUUUAUCCCGAAUUAGUAAUUACUCCAUAUAUCUAUUACAAAUAAUUCCUUAUUUUAUACUUUUGGACAAAUAAUUAGCAGCCUCAAGAUUAACAAAUCAUGCCCUAGACUUAAUUUCACCGGAAAACGAACAAACAAUGCCAACAGGAGCUCGACACCCCAACAAAUACAUUUUAAUACUAACCUAAUCGGAAAUCACGCAUCCAUCCAUUCCCAAAGGACAUCGACGAAAACAAACUUGACCAAUAUUCAUACGCAGAUUCAACGUCCAAAACUCACUAAUAGUUUCAAACCUCAAUCCGACUUUACCUACAGACCCACUUACGACCAAAAUAGUUUAAUCCACAAACCAACACAAGUCUACAAUAAUAUCAGGUAGAUCACCAUCAUAUGUUCAAAGAUCGAAAAAGGAUAACGAGAUGGGAAACGGAUAAAAAGGAAAAGAUUUGUACCUUGUGUGGGGCAGCAAAACUGAGGCUUUCCGUCAAGUUUUCCUAUGGCCACGACUCAAUUCCGACACUCGAACUCGGACCAAGAAAAAUAAGAGAAUAUUAACCAGUAAUGAAAACUUGAAUGCUUAAUCAGUAUAGUGGGAGAUCGAGACCUGACCAUCUUUUCCCCAUGAGAAAGAUGAGGCCACCCUUUAUAGGUGUAAAUUCGGACUUGAAGGUCCGGAUUUGAAAACCAAAAAAUAAAAAAACGGAAAGAUUUUGAAAUUUGAAUCAUAAAUCUCCUUUAAAUCAACAUCAAAUCAAAGACCCAUAGUUCCUUUUUGAGGUCUGUUCAAUUCAAAUUUCCAAUUCAUGGAGAACAAUGGGGAGAGAGGGUCACUGUUUUGGGAACAUCAGUGCUUUGGGUAGCAAGAAGAUGCGUGAUUUUGGUCUUUCGGAAAACAAAAAAGGUCGGUUGUUGUUUAUCUGAAACAAAGAAAAAGACCAUUUGAUAUAAGAAUAAAAGAAAUAAUAAGUUUAUAUAUAUAUUCAAAAAUUUUG